ensembl:lncRNA
AAUUCCUUCAAACCAAAGUGGCCAAAAUGUUUAGUUAUUUUUAUCAAAAUGACCAUGAACUCUAGAAAAGUGUUCCUCAGAAUAGUUUUGCUCUAUUCUCAUUGAUGCUGAAUGGCUUUUGGAUCAGACUGUAACUGUUUAGACUCACUGACUCUUCUAGGGGCUGAUUUUUAAAAGCACAUUGUUUCUUCUACUUUUUAAGGCAAAGCAGCAUUUACAUUUAAGGGGAUUUUUUUAACAACAUAAUAGCAACAGUCAUAACAAAUAUCUACCAUAUCUACUGUAGAAACAUAACAUAUGCCUAUUCCUAUUGUGUGCAGUACAUUUAGUAACAGAAUCUCACACCUAAUGUUGUGCCUUGCAUUGUAAUUGGGGAAGAACCGCCAUACACCUCAGCUAUGCUCCACGCUCUUCUGCUUCCUUCUUCUUUGCAUUCAAAUGCUUGUAACUUUGUUUAGUAAGUAAAUAAAUCUUAUCAUAGUCACAUUUUCAGAGUUGAUGUAUUUUAAAGUCAGCUAUAGCACUCCCAUUUGCACAGUAUAUCAAAUUCAUGUGACUCACCCCUCAAUUUAAGUUUUGCAGAAUCCCAUUAAAGAGAUUAAUUCAAGUCAUCCCCUUAAAUUUAAUUUAUAAAAUUUUAUUUAAAAAUUAAUAUAUUUUUGUUUUUGAGUAAUGUCCUGCAAAAACCUUGUAAUAUUUUGUGGUACAUGAUUGAAACAAGCAAAAGUGCCCUUUAACCCAAAUUAUUAAUCACAAAACAACAUUUUCCACUGUCCAUUGUCACCUCCCCUGCCCUUCCUGUAAUUAAACUGUACAAAAAUACAUUUUAAAAGAUAACAUUGGAACUAAAUUGCUUCAUAAUGCAAAUUUUGAAGGCAUAAAGUCCAUAAAGCGCAACUUUUGCUGACACCUUAUAGUGACGGAUGCAUUUAUACGCGGAGGGGAGGUGGAGGAGUGCGUCCAAUAGCAUGGCCGAGGAGGCGGUGUGUGGUGACACACACACACAGAGCGAGAGGCGGGCUGCAGCAGCCAGCUGUUGGAAAGCAGCGCUCCUGAAUCAUCCGCAGCUUCUGCAUCAGCAACUAUUCCUGUUUGACUGGUCCUGAUCGAGUGGGUGAAACUAAGAAGUAAACAGAGAAAAAGAAGAUCGAGGAACAGGUGAGAUCAGAUGCUCUAUUUUUAUUUUUAAGCACGUGUUGAGUUUCUUUUUUAUCUUCUUAUUUCGGUUUUUAAGGCAAAUGAGCGAAGCUUCCUGGGGUUUCCUGUGUAGAGCAUUGCAUGACACAGCUGUGAGUAAAGUACCUGUUGCUGUGUUAUUGAGAUGAGGCUAUAAUAGACAGGAGUGCUUGGCAACUCGGGGACAGACAGGCUAUUCUUAAACUGUCUAUUUGAAAUGACGUCAGCAAGUUAUUGGGAAUAAUUGCCCAUAAACGGGUUUAAGCAAUGUAUUUCUACUUCUUUUUAACUUUUAUGAUUAUUAUUAUUAUUAUUACUUAAUUCUUGCUUGGUUUGCUCACUGUGAAAAAUGAAUCAGAGUCCUUUGAAAACAAACACAUUCUAUGACUCCCAUGAGUCCAUUCUGAGUAGACUGGUUCAACUUUUAAGAAGAAUCUCGACUAACUUUGCUCUUAUUAGAAACAGAUAUAGAUAGAUAUCUAGACAGACAGAUAGAUAGCUCUUUCAUCCCUUUAGCUGUUGUCCGUAGUCUAAUUUAAAGCAAGCAUUAUUGAUUCUGGUGUCUUUAAUCUUCUGACGUUCCUUAGUGCUGGAUAUGUAUCUUUUUCCAUUUUUACUGCCCUCAAAGAGGUUUUCCUCUUUUAGUGUGAGGUGUGGCUCAUCUUCACAGAUAGUUUGAGAGGAUGUCAGACUUUCUAACCUUUUGGAAGACCUAAAAAAAACCUUUUUUCUCUAUUUAUGGAAAGAUCAAAUGUUCAGCACAUGCCUGCAUGCAACAUUGCUACUCUGGCUCUAUGAAAAAAUAUCAAGGCAAUUCAAUUAUCCCCAGUUAAAAUUAGACAAAUAUUUCCUCGCCAUUGCACUGCAAAGGCCCAAUGAGCACAUGAACCAUUUGACCCCAAAGGUUGCAAACAGAGACAUAUACAGCUAGGUAUACUACAAGAUAAAAAUAAUAAAAAGACCUCUUUUGGUUACCAUGCUAGCUAUGCAAAGCUUUGUCGAGAACUAUAAAGACUAAGAAGCAAAGUGUUCCCCUGGGGCCUUUAUUUUAUGAGUAUGCUUCUGUUUUGAUUUGAAUGAGUGAGGCUGUCACUAAGACUUCAAGUUUUUCCAGAUUUGACCUUCACCUUUUUUAACUGUAGUUCAGAAGAAUGUAUGUAUAUGCACUAGUACAUACAGAGUGUCAAUGGGUGAAGACAGACAUCGGCCCACAUAACACUGGACUUUGAUAUGACACUCACAAGCUGCUAAAAUGACUAAAAGAGUGAAAACAACAACCCUGUUAGAUUUGAUUCACACACUGCUAGCAACAGAUAAAGCACAUUAUACCCAUGUAGUACAGUAGACAUUUUAGGUGUUGCUUCUCUUGUGAUUGCCAUAAUUGUGUAACUAAUGCAUUCACAGAGCAAAACGUGAAAAAAAAUAGUUUAGAGCAAAAGCAAAACCAUUUUCUCAAACCAUCUUUAACUAUCAGUAUUUUAACACUACCAUUAUAUAUCUUGUCAUAUUUACCAUCCAGUACUGCGUAGAGAGCAGGGCAAUCUGCUUUUUCAUCAUAGAAGAACCCAUUAACCUCCCUGGCUAAUAUGCUUACAAGUGUUUACCAUGUUUUUGAAACAUUUGAAGCCACCAUGCUCUGAAUGACUCAUGGAAAGGAAACCAUUGAAGCAGAACCCCCAAUACUCUACAAAUGCCCUACUUUUUCCCCCUUCUCAUUCAUGCAUACAGUUCACUGCAGCAAGAAAAACAUGUCGCGCGAUACAUAUUCUUAAUGAGCAAAAUCAGCAGUGCUAAUAAGACCAAUUAAAAUUACCUUGAUGCGCAGGGUUUUCUGUAAACGUGCACUGUUGUCCUAGGUAGUUCCCCGGUGAUUAGUCAGACGAUCCCAGGGUAUGUCAGAAAGC